AUGAGUUAUGUUAAGGUAUGCACCCUUUUGAAUUUGAUCACAAUUGUUAUGAUCUAUUUGGUUAUUUUGAUGAGUGAAACUCAGAGUCAAGUGGAAGCAAGCAGGGUUUUAAGGAAUUCUCAAGAGUUUUCAUUUGCAAAAGCUAAUAACCUCCAAACACAAACCUCAUCGGCUUAUGAACAAGCCAAGAACACAAUGUCAAUUUGGCUUCAGCGUUUGCCUUCUGGACCAAGUCCUAAAGGCCCUGGUCAUUGA